GGGCACGUGGGUGAGUGGCUGAAACCAGUCCCCUGCUAAGGGACCAUACGGGGUGACUCGUAUCGAGGGUUCGAAUCCCUCCGUGCCCGCCA
rnacentral:tRNA from 2 species